GAAAGGGAAACGAUUGAAGUCAGUCGUACCGACGAGAAAUCAACUUAUCGUGUGCGAACUUGUGGGCGUGCGUGAGUUUCGGCCUCGCUGUUUGCAUGUUUGUGCGUUUUGGGUGUACUUUUUCGUAUGGUAGGCCAACGUCAGUUUCGAUUAUCAUAAAAUGACCGGCGGAAUGUAGCUUCGAUUUCGGUUGAAGUGUUAUAGCCUCUGGUAGAUGUGGUGAUUGAGACUGAGGAUUGCAACGAAUACCCUUUGGGCUAUCCGUCUGGCCUCUGAAAGUUGCUCAGGUGCCGAAAGCGUGCUUACGGUUAUCUAAGAUAACGUUCAACAGGUUAGAACGUGAUUACAUUCGUUAAGGAUGUUGACGUA
rnacentral:rRNA from 1 species